rnacentral:lncRNA from 1 species
UCGUCAUGAGUCAAAUCGAGUUACAGUUUAUUUUCAUGAGUCUGGUCCAGUCACAGCUGAUAUUCAUAAGUCUAGUCAAAUCACUGCUGAUCUUCAUGAGUCAAGUCAAGUCACAGUUGAUCUUCCUGAGUCGAGUCUAGUCACAGUUGAUCGUCCUGAGUCAAAUCGAUUCACAGUUUAUUCUCAUGAGUCUGGUCAAGUCACAGCUGACAUUCAUGAGUCUAGUCAAGUCACAACUGAUCGUAAUGAGUCAAGUCAAGUUACAGUUCAUCUUCAGGAGUCAAGUCGCAGCUGAUCUGCCAGAGCCUCAUCACGUCUCAGCUGUUCGUCCAGGGUCACGUCCCAUCACAGCUGACCUUCUAGAGUCUCCCCACGUCUCAGCUAUUCAUCCAGAUUCACGUCGCAUCACAGCUGUUCAUCCAGAGCCUCGUCACGUCUCAGGUGUUCGUCCAGAGUCACGUCACGUCACAGCUGACCUUCUAGAGUCUCGACACGUCUCCGCUAUUCAUCCAGAGUCACGUCACGUCUCCGUUAGUCAUCCAGAUUCAUGUCGCAUCUCAGCUGUUCGUCCAGAGUCACGUCCCGUCACAGCUGACCUUCUAGUGUCUCGCCAUGUCUCAGCUAUUCAUCCAGAUUCAGGUCGCAUCACAGCUGUUCAUCCAGAGCCUCGUCACGUCUCAGCUGUUCAUCCAGAGCCUUGUCACGUUUCAGCUGUUCGUCCAGAUUCACGUCGCAUCACAGCUGAUCAUCCAGAGUCAUGUCACGUCCUGUCUGUUGCUCCCAGAUUGUUGGGGUCGGUCCGUCGGUAUCCCAGUCUGGUGUCCAGUGUGAAGGAUGCACCGCUGGUGUCUGCACGCGCAGCUGGUAUCCCCAAACCCACUCACUUUAGCCCUCCUGUUCCUGAACUCAUCCCCCUGUCUGCAGCACUUCCCAUAUGGGGGGUUGCUUUAUGGUGUAUCUGGGCCGCGUACUCCACCGCCGAUUUGCUAGAGGCAGCGGCACCGGCUACAACAUCUCCAGAGGUGGCGGCUUACGCUGCAGAACCUCCCGAGGUAGCGGUGUCCACUGAAGUCUCUUCAGAGGUGGCGGCGCAGGCUGCAGAACCUCCCGAGAUGGCGACACUUGUCUCAGUUCCUUGCGUGGUGGUGGUGGCGCCCAGCAACGAACUUCCUGCCUGUUCUGUUCCGGCCAAGGAGGCCGUCUAUGAACUUCCUGCCUGUCCUGCUCCGGCCAAGGAGGCCGUCUCUGAACUUCCUGCCUGUCCCGUUCCGGCCAAGGAGGCCGUCUCUGAACUUCCUGCCAGUCCUGUUCCGGCCAAGGAGGCCGUCUCUGAACUUCCUGCCUGUCCUGUUCCGGCCAAGGAGGCCGCCUAUGAACUCUCUGCNNNNNNNNNNNNNNNNNNNNNNNNNNNNNNNNNNNNNNNNNNNNNN